CCUACGGGAGGCAGCAGUGAGGAAUAUUGGUCAAUGGACGAGAGUCUGAACCAGCCAAGUAGCGUGAAGGAUGACUGCCCUAUGGGUUGUAAACUUCUUUUAUAUGGGAAUAAAACGUUCCACGUGUGGGAUUUUGUAUGUACCAUAUGAAUAAGGAUCGGCUAACUCCGUGCCAGCAGCCGCGGUAAUACGGAGGAUCCGAGCGUUAUCCGGAUUUAUUGGGUUUAAAGGAAGCGUAGGUGGAUUGUUAAGUCAGUUGUGAAAGUUUGCGGCUCAACCGUAAAAUUGCAGUUGAAACUGGCAGUCUUGAGUACAGUAGAGGUGGGCGGAAUUCGUGGUGUAGCGGUGAAAUGCUUAGAUAUCACGAAGAACUCCGAUUGCGAAGGCAGUUCACUGGACUGCAACUGACACUGAGGCUCGAAAGUGUGGGUAUCAAACAGGAUUAGAUACCCUAGUAGUC
rnacentral:rRNA from 1 species